GAAACUAACCAGGAUUCCCCCAGUAACGGCGAGUGAACGGGGAUUAGCCCAACAUCGAAGCCUAUGCCUAUUUGGGUGUAAGGCAAUGUGAUGUUAUGGGGUGUGCCUAGGGUCACUGGUCAACUCGAAGUCCAAUAUUGAAUGUGGCUUUUGUAUAUGGCCCAGAGCGGGUGAUAGGCCCGUGCGAGUUGACUGUUAGUCAUGUUGAGUGGCCUCUAGAUGCAUACUCUGUGGAGUCGGAUUGCUUGAGAAUGCAGUCCAAAGUUGGUGGUAAACUCCAUCAAAGGCUAAAUACUGGCACGAGUCCGAUAGCAAACAAGUACCGUGAGGGAAAGUUGAAAAGUACUCUGAAGAGAGAGUAAAUAGUACGUGAAACCACAUACAGGUAAACUGGUGGAGUCCAGCUGCGUGUUUUGGGGACUUAGCUGGUAUGUGAAUUAUGGAUGUUGUAAACUGCUGCUUGUGGUUUGUCUAUAAUGACGAGUUAGAUUUACGUCUAAUUCAUGUCCAUCUUGUAGAUGGUAUGUGCCACUUGUACGCGUCUGUUUGCAUGCCAGUGUCAUUCCUCAAAGCUGACAUCACAGUCAAUACUGCUGCUAGUGUAUGAUGAUCAAACCGUUGAAUAGUGGGCCUUGAAGUUCAUUUUCAACGUGGAUGGCAGGUGGUUUGGCUAUUCGCCUUUGUGUGAAUAGUUGAGCUUAAAAAUGGCUGCGGCCAGCCGAUCAUCAUGCUGUAUUUUGCUUACAUUUAACUAUGCAGUGUAUUGGUAAUGAGUAUUGUGGCCUAAUGGUGCUGAUUUCAGGCUGGCUCACGCGGGGUUAUGUGUAAAAGCGUGCUCAACGUGUGGCUUCAGUUUGUUUCUUGGUAUCAUGCGGUUACAUCUUAACAUAAACUGUGGUGUUGUGGUA
rnacentral:rRNA from 1 species